CGCGCGUCGGAAAGCGUUUCCGGUGUGCGCGGGGCGUCGUGGCAGCGCCCUGAGGGCGUUUUUAAAUGUUGGGGGAUAGCCAGGGAACUUCAGAAAGGUAUAAGAAGUUCCUCCCACUUUUGGCCCCCAGUCCCCUAGACUCAGAGAUUUCUUGUGUGAUCUUCCGGAAAUAUUCUGUGCACAUACAGAUAAAUGUCUGUUGCUGCAGCUCUGAGCAUGAUGUCCUCACACAACUUCAUACAAAGGCAAAACCGAAGGGGAACUUCUUCACGUCUUAGAGAUAACCAUUGAAAACGAAUGCAAAUUAUAAGAUAAACACCGUACGACCACCACCCAGGUCAAGAAAUAGAACUUUGCCAGCCAUUUCAGAAGCAUCUCCAUGUGACCCAGCCCAAUCUCAGCUCUCACCUCCCUCCAAAAGUCAGUUUUGCUGGAUCUAAAAUCCUUGGAUCACAUUUUUGUCCCCAGUUUCUUUUCAGUGUGGGUUCCUGUCCUGGGCAGAAGAUUCAUGGGGCCUAGACCCCUUGAUCCUUUGCUCUGGCCCCUUCCUCACACCUGCUAUUGGAGGAGGGAAAACUCUUCCCAGUUUCAGCCACAUUCCCAGAAUGGCUCACUGAUUUCCAGUGACUGUCUACUGGUUAUUUGGAGAUUUUCGCCAUCUCAGGUCAGUCAGACACUGUUACUUCCCGCUAGUUUGUCUCACAUUGGGGCUGAUA